rnacentral:rRNA from 1 species
UACAGAGGGUGCAAGCGUUGCUCGGAAUUAUUGGGCGUAAAGGGUAGGUAGGUGGUCCCAUUUGUCAGGGGUGAAAGCCUUGGGCUUAACUCAAGAAGUGCCCCUGAAACGGUGAGACUAGAGCACUGUAGAGGCGGGUGGAAUUCCGGGUGUAGCGGUGGAAUGCGUAGAGAUCCGGAAGAACACCGGUGGCGAAGGCGGCCUGCUGGGCAGGCGGCUGACACUGAGGCGCGACAGCGGUGGGGAGCAAACAGGAUUAGAAACCCCGAGAG